AAAUAUUUAUACAAAGAUCAAGAUCGUUAACAAUAAAAAGUUCACAUUUUAACUAUUCGGCCUCCAGAUUUCUGUGCUCAAGUUCCUGCCUUGACUUCCUUCCACAGUGGACUGUCACCUGUAAGCCAAAUAAACCCUUUCCCAGAA